UAAAAUUAAAACUGAGUUGGUGUAUAAGAUGAAUUACGCGGUCCAGGGAGGCAGAUUCUCCCUGCACCCAAUCAAAAAUGACUGGCACCCAAUUACUUUUGUGAAAAGACUAAACUAAUCCUAAUGAAAUAAAAAUUAGGGUUUUUUUUAGUCUCUUAGUUUUCCCUACACCCAACACACUGCAACCCCUUCGUUUUCAAUUUUUUUGCCGCUUUCUUCUCUGUGCCGUUUUCCGUUCAGUAGCAGCGUUUAUCUGUGCCGAAGACCAACUGAACGGCGACGUUGAUUAUGGUGGUGGUGGUCAGUGAGGCGGCAUCGAAUGUAACGGAGUUGGACGGCAAGAGAGAACGAAGCUACCGGGAGAGACAACACGCAAAAAAAGUGAGUUUUCUCAUUGACAUUGCCUUCUGGAUAUAGCGGAAUGCCUUUAUGCGCUGCGGAUAAUUUUAUCUAGAAUUGGUUUUUUUGGUUUUUUUUUCCGGAUGGAUUAUCGGAAGUGUGAGUUUGUGCUGCGAAUAUCUAUGUCUGAAAAUUUUUUCGCUGUUUUGGAUGUGGGUUAUCGGGAAGUGCAAUUUUGUAUUGUGGAUGCGUAUGUUCUGAAGUUUUUCCAGAAUUCUUAGUGUAUUACACUGAAAACGGCACGUCCCCUGCCAGCACCAACCAAAGAGAAGAGGAAAACUAAGUUGUUUUUGCACCUUAC
rnacentral:lncRNA from 1 species